UGGGGAAUUUUGGACAAUGGGGGCAACCCUGAUCCAGCCAUCCCGCGUGUGCGAUGAAGGCCUUCGGGUUGUAAAGCACUUUUGGCAGGAAAGAAACGGCUCUGGCUAAUAUCUGGAGCAACUGACGGUACCUGCAGAAUAAGCACCGGCUAACUACGUGCCAGCAGCCGCGGUAAUACGUAGGGUGCAAGCGUUAAUCGGAAUUACUGGGCGUAAAGCGUGCGCAGGCGGUUCGGAAAGAAAGAUGUGAAAUCCCAGGGCUUAACCUUGGAACUGCAUUUUUAACUACCGGGCUAGAGUGUGUCAGAGGGAGGUGGAAUUCCGCGUGUAGCAGUGAAAUGCGUAGAUAUGCGGAGGAACACCGAUGGCGAAGGCAGCCUCCUGGGAUAACACUGACGCUCAUGCACGAAAGCGUGGGGAGCAAACAGGAUUAGAUACCC
rnacentral:rRNA from 1 species